UGCGGAAGGAUCAUUAUUGAAAUUAUAGGCGAGGGUUGUAGCUGGCCUCCCGGGGCAUGUGCACGCCUGAGCCCUUAAUCCCACACACACCUGUGAACCUAUUGUAAGGGCCCGUAAAAAAGGCCUUUACGUCUUUAUCACCUACACGAAAGUCUCAAUAGAAUGUAAAUGUAAUGUCCUCGCCUUAAAAAAGCGUUGAUAAAAAAAAAGUUAUACAACUUUCAACAACGGAUCUCUUGGCUCUCGCAUCGAUGAAGAACGCAGCGAAAUGCGAUAAGUAAUGUGAAUUGCAGAUUUUCAGUGAAUCAUCGAAUCUUUGAACGCACCUUGCGCUCCUUGGUAUUCCGAGGAGCAUGCCUGUUUGAGUGUCAUUAAAUUCUCAAACUCUGAUUGAUUUUGUUUCGGUCAGAGCUUUGGAUUUGGAGCGUGCUGGCGUCAGUCGGCUCCUCUUGAAUGCAUCAGCGGAAUCCCAUUCAUUUCGGACGUCAGUGUGAUAAUCAUGUUGCGCUGUCUCUUGCCGAUCUUGAAAGCCCGCUCA
rnacentral:rRNA from 1 species